UACGGAAGGCAGCAGUGGGGAAUAUUGCACAAUGGGCGCAAGCCUGAUGCAGCCAUGCCGCGUGUAUGAAAAAGGCCUUCGGGUUGUAAAGUACUUUCAGUCGUGAGGAAGGUGUUAAGGUUAAUAACCUUAGCAAUUGACGUUAGCGACAGAAGAAGCACCGGCUAACUCCGUGCCAGCAGCCGCGGUAAUACGGAGGGUGCGAGCGUUAAUCGGAAUUACUGGGCGUAAAGGGCACGCAGGCGGUUAAUUAAGUUGGAUGUGAAAUCCCCGGGCUUAACCUGGGAAUGGCAUUCAAGACUGGUUAGCUAGAGUCUUGUAGAGGGGGGUAGAAUUCCGAUGUGUAGCGGUGAAAUGCGUAGAGAUGUGGAGGAAUACCGGUGGCGAAGGCGGCCCCUGGACAAAGACUGACGCUCAUGUGCGAAAGCGUGGGGAGCAAACG
rnacentral:rRNA from 1 species